CUUCUGUUACGCUUGGGUCACAUUUUACUGCGCGGAUUGUUCUCCCAAGAUGCAGCAGGAACUCUGGAGGCAAUGUGGAGGCAAAGACUAAUCAGGCAAACGUCCUACCAGAAAAAUCACUGUUUGACAUGUUGAAGGCAUCUGACAUCCCCAUGCUGACCAAGACAUUCUUCAUGUUGUACUUCUCUUCCAUCUUAAACCGAGGCAGCCCCACCUUGACCGCAACUACGUCCAUCAUAUCUGGACGAGUCCACUCCAGGAAGUUCUCAUAGACCAGUUGAGUCACCCUUCAUACUCAUGGGGAGAAAGAUGAGCAUGCUGAGAUCCUUCCCUUUGUAAGGCAGCUCCAAGAUCUGUCCAACAGAAGCAGAUCUUCUUACCACAACACAUUUGAUGCACCACAAAAAGACAACUUGUCGUUUCUUCACACCCUUUAAAAAGCCAACUGGUCAUUUUAUUCCUGUCUUUACCUGGCAGUUGGCUUCAGAUAUGAAAGUCAAAGGAAAUGUGGAUUGUUGAUGCAUCAUCUUCACUGGUUUGGUUACAUUCUAAAAACAACAACAUAGGAGCUCAUAACACGAUGAAUGAAUUAAAAUACAUUAAACAUGAUCAUCAAAUUAUUAAAUGAUUUUUCCCAUCUUAUAAUGUUGCAAACAUCACAAUUUUCCAUCACUCCAAUUCCUUUGUAUGAAGUUUAACUGGAAGUGGCUCCUU